rnacentral:piRNA from 1 species
UCAUCGUUUUUUUUCACAGAA